AUUGAACGCUGGCGGCAUGCCUUACACAUGCAAGUCGAACGGUAACAGGUCUUCGGAUGCUGACGAGUGGCGAACGGGUGGGUAAUAUAUCGGAACGUGCCUAGUAGUGGGGGAUAACUACUCGAAAGAGUGGCUAAUACCGCAUGAGAUCUACGGAUGAAAGCAGGGGAUCGCAAGACCUUGUGCUACUAGAGCGGCCGAUGGCAGAUUAGGUAGUUGGUGGGAUAAAAGCUUACCAAGCCGACGAUCUGUAGCUGGUCUGAGAGGACGAUCAGCCACACUGGGACUGAGACACGGCCCAGACUCCUACUGGAGGCAGCAGUGGGGAAUUUUGGACAAUGGGCGCAAGCCUGAUCCAGCAAUGCCGCGUGCAGGAUGAGGGCCUUCGGGUUGUAAACUGCUUUUGUACGGAACGAAAAGCCCUGGGUUAAUACCCUGGGGUCAUGACGGUACCGUAAGAAUAAGCAACGGCUAACUACGUGCCAGCCGCCGCAGUAACAC
rnacentral:rRNA from 1 species